AUUGAACGCUGGCGGCAGGCCUAACACAUGCAAGUCGAGCGAGCGGCGGACGGGUGAGUAAUGUAUGGGGACUGCCCGAUAGAGGGGGAUAACUACUGGAAACGGUGGCUCAUACCGCAUACUAUCGGAUAACCCAUAUGGGAUUAGCUAGUAAGUGUGGUAAUGGCUCACCUAGGAGACGCUCACUAGCUGGUCUGAGAGGAUGAUCAGCCACACGGGGACUGUGACACGUCCCAGACUCCUACGGAGGCAGCAGUGGGGAAUAUUGCACAAUGGGCGCAAGCCUGAUGCAGCCAUGCCGCGUGUAUGAAGAAGGCCCUAGGGUUGUAAAGUACUUUCAGUCGGGAGGCGUUACCGACAGAAGAAGCACCGGCUAACUCCGUGCCAGCAGCCGCGGUAAUAC
rnacentral:rRNA from 1 species